AAGUGCCCGGGACGGCUGGGCGGAGCUGUGUAUGUCUUCCGGGACCCCUGACUGUGGUUGGCCACCAGGGGGCACCACGGGCCUGGGGCCGUCGGCGCCUUGGGGGCUUCCCGGUGCGGCUCUCCGCGAACUCUGAACCCGCUCCCUGAACGCGGCAGCCGGCCCCCUCCCUGUGCAGCGUCGCUGCGGGGGUUGGUGAAUGAGCACGGGUUCUGCAUCAGCCUUCCUGGGUUCAGAUUCCACACUGUGACCGUCCUUUGCCCUUAUUGUGAAAAAGCAGCCACUGACACAGCUACAGGGGAGCCAUUUCUAAGAAGUAAUGCAUACUGAUGAGAUGGCAAAUUCUAAGAACUCGGGUUAUGGCAGGGUCCAGCUGAGAUGAUAAAUGCAAGUUGCUAAGUACAGAACCUGGCCUACAGCAGCUCCUGCCGCUCCCGCUCCAGCGCCUCCCUCUCCGCCGCCAGCUGGUCCUCCUUGGCGCGGAUCUCGCUGGCCCGGAUCUUCAGCUCUGCCUGCUCCUGGGGACAGCAAUGCCUGCACUGCCACCUCCAGCCUCUCCAAGCAGGAGGAGUCCCGGGGCUCCAGGUCUGGGCCAGGCUCAGGUGCGGGGAUCUGAGCCCCACCCACCUGUCCUUCCUGACCCGAGCUGUUCCCGCCGCUCUGCCACCCCCUGACUGGUGGAGGCGGGGGAGCCAGGGGCUCAGACGAGGGGCCCGAGACCCUGGGGCCACACCAGGGCGCUGCCCUCGCCAGCCACACAAUCUCAACAGGUCUCAGUUUCCCCAUUUCUAAAACAUCCAAGUUUCAGAGGAUUGAAUGGGAAAGGUCUAUAAACAUGGGACAAUAAAAGGCAGU